rnacentral:lncRNA from 1 species
UAAGGCUAUGUUUGGAUUGAUGGUACAUAACGGAAUGGAGCGGAAUGAAACAUAAUGGAAUGGAAUGGAGUGGAACGGAAUGGAACACAAAUUUCGUUCCAUUGUUUGGAUAUUCAAUGAUGGAAUGGAACAAAAUUACCACUCCAUUGUUUGGGAAGUGAACGGAAUGGAAUAAGCCUAAGCACUUUUUAGUAAGUUAUCCACAUUGAACCAACAACAUUAUCCCUAACUAACUCUGCUCUAGCGGUAUCAUCAUUGUUUUCUCUUUGAGCUUG